GACGAGAUAGCCAAGCCCGGUAUGGCGCGGGAUUGCUAAUCCCGUGAUGCUUUGCAUCUCGGGGGUUCGAAUCCCCCUCUCGUCG
rnacentral:tRNA from 4 species